rnacentral:rRNA from 1 species
AGAACGAACGCUGGCGGCAUGCCUAAUACAUGCAAGUCGAACGAACACUUCGGUGUUAGUGGCGCACGGGUGCGUAACGCGUGGGAAUCUGCCCUUGGGUUCGGAAUAACAGUUGGAAACGACUGCUAAUACCGGAUGAUAUCGAAAGAUCAAAGAUUUAUCGCCCAGGGAUGAGCCCGCGUAGGAUUAGCUAGUUGGUGAGGUAAAGGCUCACCAAGGCGACGAUCCUUAGCUGGUCUGAGAGGAUGAUCAGCCACACUGGGACUGAGACCACGGCCCAGACUCCGUACGGGAGGCAGCAGUAGGGAAUACGUUGGACAAGUGGGACGCAAGCCUGAUCCAGCAAUGCCGCGUGAGUGAUGAAGGCCUUAGGGUUGUAAACGCGUUACUUUUAACCCGAGUAAUGUAACUAAGUAG